GACACAAAUGGUAUGUAUUACAUUUUAUUUUGUAUGAAACAAUUGCCUUAUGGUAUUUAUUCUUAUAAAUAUAUUAUGUGAAUUUAAGAACGAAUCGAUAUAGUCCAAUGAUGGCUUUUAUUUAUUAACUGUAAAUUAAUAAAAAAAAAUAAUUUUCAAAUCUAUCACUCUUAAAAACCGUUAAAAACGAAUUAUCUUACAUUCCGAAAAAUUUACAGCGAUUUAUUGCAUAAAUUAUAAUUUAUAAUACAUAAAUAUACUAUUAAUACUAGUUGGUAUUUCCAGAAAUUUUGUUUGUUAAGUUUAUAACACUAAAAAUACUUCUAAAAAUUCAUCAAACUUGCUUUAAUGUAUAGUAUGUUACUAUAAUUAUUGUAUUGAAUUUUAAGUCAAUGAUAAAUAAUUUUGAACAACAAAAAAAAAAACGAUUUCUGGAAGUCGAUACUUAGUCUUAUAGUCUAAAUGUGUAAAACUAUUUAAUAUCAUAGUAUACCUCAUUUAAUUUAUUUUGAUAAGUAAAAUUACAAAAUUUUAAUAUAAGUACUAUGUGUUUACCGUAAAGCUAAAAUUUUGAAUUUCUACACAAUUCUAGUACAAAUACUCAAUAAAAAAAUUUUAAUACUUUAUUUUAAUUAAAUUAAAUCGAUUUUGUCAAAAAAUUGUAUAACUUAUAAUUUUGGUUUAUAUAGUGGACGCAGCAGUUGUCUGUUGUUGAUGGUGCUUGUGUUAAGCUAGCGACUAGUUGUUGGUUCCCAGAUGGUCACCCAUCUGGGAAUUUUAUUAAAAAACCAGUCAAAUGCGAGACGGACUCGCGUACGAAGGGUUUUGUACCAUUUACAUAAUUUUGUGGUAGAUAGGUACAGGAAAACUUUGUCAAUCAACUCAUUGGUCUUUGCUGUUAUUUUACAGAAAUUUAUUGGCAAAGUAAUGCAUUGUGUUGAUUCAUCAAUUGCCAUGAAAACAAAUAAUAACAAAUUCAGGGAUAAUAAUAAUUAUUAUAAAAAAAAAAAAAAUAAUAAUAAACAAAUAGUAAAAUUAUUUCUUUCGCGCUAAUUAUUAUUAUUAGGUAUUGUAACUAAUAGCAACCAAACUAAAAUAUCAAAUAACUAAAAUUUCCAUAGUAAAUUUCUGUUUGAGCACCUUCCGGGGUUAGGUCUAUCACUUUUUAAAGUAUUUGUUGUUAUAGCGGUAACAGAAAUACAUCAUCUGUGAACAUUUCAACUGUCUAACUUUCACGGUUAAUGAGAUACAAUUUAUCGUAUUGUAUAAUAUAACUUAUACUAGUAUUAUAAUAACAAUAUAACAUCGACGCAAACGACGUUCAAAAAGAUCAAGAAAAAUAUUAAUGGUGGGCCAUAAUAUAAUAUUAUAAUAUUGUAACAACGGAUGUAAUUAUAUUAUUAACAAUACAGCGUCUCGCAAACAUCCGACUCUCCCAGUAGAUCGCUACCAAAUUGUAUACAUGAAUAUAUUUUGUGUAAGGACCAUAAUAGCAAUUAAAUCAUAUUUAUUGUUAGUUGAUAAAACAUAAUCAUUUUGUAUAAUAUUAUAUAUUAAUUGGUAUGUUGAUUAUUUUAUUUCUAGAACUAAAAAGUAUGUACCUACAAUUUUCUAUUUUAUUAAAAUCGUUGGUAUUUUGUUUUUUUUCUAUCCACGAUUUUAUGAUUACACCAUGUAGAGUUAUAUCACAUUAAAUUAAAAAUUAAUUUUUUUUUAUUGGUAGAGAAAUUUCUUAUGAAACUUGGAAAAUUUUACAAAGGAUUUAUAACAGAUGGUAUGUUUUAUUGUAUACCUACCAAUAUUUAUUAUAAUAUUUUAAUAAUUAAAAUCAACGCGAUUGUUUAUAGAAUAAUAACUAAAAUCUAAUAUAAUUGAUGCUUUUAUCAAAUAAAUAACACGAAAUAUAAACAUGAUCGAUGUGAAUACUGUUUUACUAAAUAAUUGACUGAGGCAAUGAUUUCUAAAUCUUACGGACCGAGUGUUAAAUUAAUUUUGUCAGAAUUACAGUAAAACACUGUUCUUAAAAUAAUACAUUUAUAAUCGAGUUCUGUAGCUUUAUUUUGUAAGAAAAUCUGAUGACAUAUAAUUAAAAGUCUAAAUCAAAUUUAUUUUUCAGAAUUAAAAGAAACAAAUGAUAUGAUACAAACAUUUUGCGAUUUCUAUGUUAGAGAUUCUCCACCAAAUAUUUUAAAGGACUAUUAUCGAGACGUAGUGCAAGAAAACAUAGGUCCUAUUAUAAACGAUCCUGAAGAAGAUUGAAAUCAUUUUAUUAUACAAUCAAAUAUUAAAUUGGAACUAAUUUAUGUAUUUAAGUUUUUGUUUGUUUGUUUUAAAUUAAGUAAAAGUUAACGAAAAUAUUUUAUGUUAUAUACAUAUAAUUAAUAAAUAAGAUUUAUAAAACCACAA